rnacentral:rRNA from 1 species
UACAUGGGGUGCAAACGUUGCUCGGAAUUAUUGGGCGUAAAGCGCACGUAGGCGGUUCGUUAAGUCGGAUGUGAAAGCCCUCGGCUCAACUGAGGAAGUGCACCCGAAACUGGCGAGCUUGAGUACGAAAGAGGAUCGCGGAAUUCCCGGUGUAGAGGUGAAAUUCGUAGAUAUCGGGGAGGAACACCGGUGGCGAAGGCG